rnacentral:ribozyme from 16 species
GAUAUUUCUUUUUUUUUUUAAAUACAUAUAUAUAUAUUCAAUAAUUUGUACAAAUUUCCAUUGAAGAG